UAUUUCGAAAAAUAGCGUGAUGAAAAACGAAAAGAAUUAAUCAAAUUAAAGGGAAUUGCAUUUAUCAUUAUUAUUUCAUAUUAUUUACCAUUAUUUAUUUCCUUCCAUUUAAUUUAAUUAUGUCGGGCAUAAAAAUAUCCAACGAUGUAGAAUUUUCCUUAAUACGAAACGUUAUUUAAUUCCAUUUUGUUUAAUUAAAAUAUCGACCGGGGACAAAAGAAAGGCUGAGCGCGAUGGGGAAAAAAAAACCAAAAAAAAAAAAAAAAAAAAAAAACAAAAAUAUCGUCGCACGAAAAUCUAGCCGCGAGCUUUUUCUCUUGCGAUAUAUAUUUUUAAAAAUGCUUUUAUUCUCGUGUAACCGCAAUAAAGUACAGUAAAUUUGAAAACAGUAUCCGAUCGGUACAUUCUAUUCUCAACGUUACUAUGUUAUUACGCGAAACGAAAUUCCGAAAUAGUUUUAAUAUUACGUAAACCAACGAGCUCAGGCGAAACUGCAUUGAUCCAGUAUGCGAAACGCGAAACUUUUCCCAUUGACUGUACUCUCUCUUCCAUAUCUACCAACUUGUCGCUCGGCCUGUACCUUGAAAUAGAAAUGAUUAAACUUUUAAUAACUGAUACGUCAGUUUGCUCGCUCGGUAACAUUGUGUUUUAUUAUACAAAGUAUAAUAACCAUAAUCAAUCGAGUCGUUCAAUUUAAAAAGUGACGUGUUAUUUUUUUUUUUUUCUAUUUAUUGUUAUUUAUUUUUUAACGUCGCAAUUAUUACUCUCGUUAUUGGUUUCCCUAUAUAUUUUCAUGAUAAAGUCAUAUUUUUUUUACUACUAAGUAUUGAAUACAAGCAAUGUUUGUUAUAUCAUUGCUAUGAUUGAUUUUAUUCGAGAAAAUAUUCGUAAUAUUUCUUGUUCUUUUUUUUUUUUUUUUUUUUUUUUUUUUAUUUUCGAAUUUCAAAUUUAAAAGGUAAUAAGAAUAGCAAUAAAUUUGUUUGCAUUCGAUUAUAUUCAAAACGCGAAUCUUUCAUCCUUUUCUCGUUUUUUCGAAAUCUUUCUUGAAUAUCGUGUUUUAUGUAUGGGUAUCGUGAAGUUAAGUCUUUUAUCGAUAUAGAAGCCGCACUUUAGUACUUAAUAAUACUGCAGGAAAACUUCUCUCGAAAAAUCAAGAACUCGUAAUUCGUACGGUGGAAAAAGAACUAACACGAUAUACAAGUAAUACCUUUUCAAUGGACGAGAAAUAUUUCCAGCAAUAUUUCGUGGACUAUAUUGAAUUUUCUCUGAAAAUACGUUUUUUAACAAUAAUAUAUAAUAUUUGUUUUAUAAAAUCAUCAUAUCUAUCAUAUUUCGUUUUAUAAAAAUUAAUAACGCGUAAGAAACUUCAUAAGAGAAUAUAUAUUUGUUCAAUUAAAAAUAAAAUACGUUAAAAAUAUAUUUUCUUUCACGUUAAAAAAAUAUAAAAAAAUAAUUAUCAUAAAAAUAUAGUUAAUAUACGAUUGAUAAGAAACAUAACUUUUAUUUCGUCUCGUGUAAUUAUUUAUGAAUAUAAAAACGAUGAAGAUUUUAAUUUUUUUUUUUCGAAAAAAAGAAAAAAUAUUUAUAAGUUCAAAAAAUAAUAUUAUCUUAAAAUCAUCAUACGAACUGAUUGUUCGCUAUUAUUAAAACGAUGACUCAUUGAAGUUUGUGCGCAAUAUUUUUUUUUCCAGCACAAGGUUUACAAUACCAUUUAAAUCGCAGUCCAUUAUUCUUUUGUACGGCAACUAAAUUGAAUUAAUUUCCCUGGUAUUCUCGAACGAGUAAGUUCCUCGAUAAAAGUACCCGAUAUAAAUAUGGAUGCAUUGGUCAAAUGAUAAAUUCAAAUUUUGCCCGUUGUUAAAUCAUUUUUCAUGUUUGCUUUUUUAUUUUAAUUCGAUUAAAUAAUUAUUUGGAUUCCAUUCGUAGUGUAUUGAAAAAUAGAAAUUUUCAUUUGCGUUUCGUAAACUAAAUUCAUUAAAAGUAAUUAUUAAUGGUAUCCGUCCCCUCUAUUAGUGUACUUUCAUUCCCCGCCAGAUGUCUCCUCCUUUCAUAAUAUUCUAGCAUCGUAGGAUAAAUAUACAUAUAUUACGCGUACUAUAAUCAGUUUCGUGCUUUUUAUUCGAAUUCUAUUAUAUUCUGUAUUAUAUUCAAAAAAAUUAUACUUGAUGUAAUUAUAUAUUUGAAAUUUGUAUAUAUUUGAAAUUUUCAACUAAAAAGUAAAGUAAAAUAAAAAAAAAAAAAAAUAUAGAGAGAGAAAAUUAAAUGGAAGCAAUAAUACUUUGAAAUUCAAUUUUGCUGAUACAAAAUUUUCAGCAAUAAAAUAAAUUCGUUCUGAUUCAAUCCUAUAAUUUUCAAUGAUUCUAGGACUUUUGAAAAUUCUAGUUAUAAGCUUUUAUGUUUGAACAGCACUUAUUCCCGUGAUCACGGAUAAAAUUAUUAAAAAGUUAUUUAAAUUCAUGAGAAUAACAAUGAUACUUGAGCCACGGCAUUAUGUGUGGGUGUGGCCUAGAAAUUGAUGCCCUUAAUUAUAAAAUAUUAUCUGUUUCAUAAAUGCAAUUUCAUAAAUGCACCGUCUCCCUCCUUGGAUCAAUAACUUACUCUCCGUUCUCCUCUUUAUAAUUAUCUUUAAAUCCAAUAUUUUCCCCUUCCCUCCGACUUCAUUGAAAUUUCAUUUAAAUAAUCUCAAAACUUAUUCAAAGCUUGUUAAAAUUCAACAGAAUGAAAUAGGGUCUUUAAUGCACAUAAGAAAAGUUCACCGAAAGACAGUGCCAUUUGUUUGAAAGAAAGUCCGGCUCACCCACCGAAUAACCACAAAAUACAAGUGACACACGAAGGGUUACGAAGCGUCACGAAGUGACCCGAAUAAGGUUCUACGGGACGUUAAUAAGUAUAUGUAUACUAACCACGACCUCAUUCGAACUUUUACAAGCCAGUGUAUACGGACGAUUCCCAUACCUGUCUAAUGUCCAAUUAUAAAUAUUACAAUCUCCAGUAUGAUGGAAAAAGUUUCAUUCUUUCGAUAGUGUAUCAAGUUAGAAAUUUUAUAAUCUAAAUGAAUAUGUCAGUACAAGAUAUUUCUCUUAUAUUCAAUUCAUAGAGAGAAGUCAGGUCGGAACAAACCAAAUAAAUUAUUCAUAUGUCAUAAUAUAUAUAUUUCAAGAAUUUUACUUCUCAAAUGCUUUCAACAAAUUCACAUAAUUCAUGACAAUUUAAUGCGUGUAAGUUGAUAAUAACGUUAUACAUUUUUAUAAAAACUUUCUAUAAACUCGCAAUACAAUACUUCUAACUAUUUUACAUAGAAAUUAUCAUCGGAAAUUUUGUUGAAAACAUAGUUUUGUCAUAAUUUAGCGUAAUUAUACGCCAAGUA
rnacentral:lncRNA from 1 species